rnacentral:misc_RNA from 1 species
GUGAAUUUGCCAAUAGUGUUUUAUUUCUUUAGAAUCUUCUGCAUUUGGUCCUUUUGAACAUUUCUUGGUGAUUUCUUGGAGAGUCUUGCAUCAAGAAGAAGCUUUACUACCAUGUCUGAUACCAGUAAAGAACGUUCUCUUGAGGAGACGCCUACGUGGGCUGUUGCUGUGGUGUGCCUUGUGAUGAUUGUUAUUUCAAUCUUCAUUGAGCAU